GGAAAGUCCGACGGUACAGGGUGAUAGUCCCGUACACGAAAGCACACAUGCUGUGAACUCGAAGAGUAGGGCGGGACACGUGGUAUCCUGUCUGAAUAUGGGGGGACCAUCCUCCAAGGCUAAAUACUCCUGACUGACCGAUAGUGAACCAGUACCGUGAGGGAAAGGCGAAAAGAACCCCGGCGAGGGGAGUGAAAAAGAACCUGAAACCGUGUACGUACAAGCAGUGGGAGCCUCUUUAUGGGGUGACUGCGUACCUUUUGUAUAAUGGGUCAGCGACUUAUAUUCUGUAGCAAGGUUAACCGUAUAGGGGAGCCGAAGGGAAACCGAGUCUUAACUGGGCGUUAAGUUGCAGGGUAUAGACCCGAAACCCGGUGAUCUAGCCAUGGGCAGGUUGAAGGUUGGGUAACACUAACUGGAGGACCGAACCGACUAAUGUUGAAAAAUUAGCGGAUGACCUGUGGCUGGGGGUGAAAGGCCAAUCAAACCGGGAGAUAGCUGGUUCUCCCCGAAAGCUAUUUAGGUAGCGCCUCGUGAACUCAUCUUCGGGGGUAGAGCACUGUUUCGGCUAGGGGGCCAUCCCGGCUUACCAACCCGAUGCAAACUACGAAUACCGAAGAAUGUUAUCACGGGAGACACACGGCGGGUGCUAACGUCCGUCGUGAAGAGGGAAACAACCCAGACCGCCAGCUAAGGUCCCAAAGUCAUGGUUAAGUGGGAAACGAUGUGGGAAGGCACAGACAGCCAGGAUGUUGGCUUAGAAGCAGCCAUCAUUUAAAGAAAGCGUAAUAGCUCACUGGUCGAGUCGGCCUGCGCGGAAGAUGUAACGGGGCUAAACCAUGCACCGAAGCUGCGGCAGCGACACUAUGUGUUGUUGGGUAGGGGAGCG
rnacentral:rRNA from 1 species